UACGUAGGGGGCAAGCGUUGUCCGGAAUCAUUGGGCGUAAAGAGCGCGUAGGCGGCCCAGUAAGUCCGCUCUGAAAGUCAGAGGCUCAACCUCUGGAUGCGGGUGGAUACUGCUGGGCUAGAGUCCGGAAGAGGCGAGUGGAAUUCCUGGUGUAGCGGUGAAAUGCGCAGAUAUCAGGAGGAACACCGGUGGCGAAGGCGGGUCUCUGGGCAGUAACUGACGCUGAGGAGCGAAAGCGUGGGGAGCGAACAGG
rnacentral:rRNA from 1 species